GACGAACGCUGGCGGCGUGCUUAACACAUGCAAGUCGAACGGAAAGGCCCAGCUUGCUGGGUGCUCGAGUGGCGAACGGGUGAGUAACACGUGGGUGAUCUGCCCCUAACUUCGGGAUAAGCUUGGGAAACUGGGUCUUAUACCGGAUAGGACAAUCGUUUAGUGUCGGUUGUGGAAAGUUUUUUCGGUUAGGGAUGAGCCCGCGGCCUAUCAGCUUGUUGGUGGGGUAAUGGCCUACCAAGGCGUCGACGGGUAGCCGGCCUGAGAGGGUGGACGGCCACAUUGGGACUGAGAUACGGCCCAGACUCCUACGGGAGGCAGCAGUGGGGAAUAUUGCACAAUGGGCGCAAGCCUGAUGCAGCGACGCCGCGUGGGGGAUGACGGCCUUCGGGUUGUAAACCUCUUUCGACAGGGACGAAGCUUUGGUGACGGUACCUGUAUAAGAAGCACCGGCUAACUACGUG
rnacentral:rRNA from 1 species